GAUAAAGAUCCAGAUAAAGUAUCCGUUUGUCUUGCAUCUACAUUGGAUACUAUUGCACAGAUGGAGUUGUUACAGGCCCCAGGCUUAUCAUUUUUGUUGCCUCAGCAGUACGUGAAAUACCCAAGGUAAGGGCUGUCAUUAUUUCUCUUCUUAAUAUGGCAUUUCUACUGAUUGAAAAGCGAGUUGCUUAAUGACAACCAUGUACGUACAUCGAUUAUCAAAUCCGAGGACGAUUACAUCUUGCAUAUUAAAUGUGCCGUUUUGA
rnacentral:misc_RNA from 1 species